UGUAGCGCAAUGGAUAGCGUGUUGGACUUCUAAUCCAAAGGUCGUAGGUUCGAAUCCUAAUUUCUGAAAAU